rnacentral:lncRNA from 1 species
GCUUGAAAUGGGGGCGGUAACGUCUGCCCGGAUGGGGCAAAAGGAGAGCAAGUCCAAUGACCCGGAAGGUCAGAAAGGAGGAGGCAACGGAGAGUCCCCCAAGCCCCCCAGCAAUAUUCCUCCGGAGAAGGCGAAACGACCUGUCGAACGCAGAUACUCCAACGUCUGGGCUAUCAGAAAUCGGACACGAGUUCUGAGGAGCGCCAGUGUGCGGGACUUGGAGAGUCGGUGGAAAAAUGAAACAGGCUUUUUCGAGGAGGUUCUCCUUACCUCCCCGCAUCAACAGCCGGAACUGAUACCACGAGCAAGACUCCGACAAAGGACGCUUCUCUCAGAGAUUUUCAGAUGAGAAGUGAGAGCGGGAUUGGAUCUCCGGAGCUGCGCAUGCGCGCUGAAGUGAUCACCGUGGAGAGCGAGAGCUUGGGAGCUUGAGCGACUGCGAAACGGAGCCGAGCACCUACGCCACGUGCUGCUCCGAAUGCGAGCGCUCCGAGGACCAGAACCCGACCACCAUCACCGCGCCCCCCACAACCUCCCCCGCCACCCACGCAACGACACCCCCCACCUCGACAGCGACCACGGCCCCGACACCAAUAACAACAAGGAUCCCGGGAAGCGAGGGGCGGAGCGCAGGGAGCGCACCCAGGAGAGCCGGCUCCACGAGGCCAUGAACUACCAGGUCAAGACCAACCCAAAAUCAGGUAAAAAGCUCGAGGGUGAGGAGAUGCAUAUCAAAAUCACGGAGACGAAAGAAAACAUUAAAGCUAUUACAACCAUCCAUCUCUUCCACACGCCCGACCAUUCUUCAGAGAUCGAGGGCAACGUUAGCCGAAAGAAGAGACUGUUCACGCCGAACAAGAAACCGACGGAGACCGGAAGCGGCGGCAAGUACCGAAAAUUGUUCUACGAGCUCCCGGAGACGUCAACCGGUACACAUUUCGCGGAGGAAGAGUUCGUGUACGAACCCCACUUCCGCACAACCACCACGAAGCUGGUCAUGAAGGCGCGGAGCAUGAUUAACCUCAACGACAAGGACCAAGCGAACGGGGAGCACCUGGCCACCGCAAGCCCGGAUCACACAUCGGGGGUGAGGAGUUCGAGGAGCUUCCGGGAUAUCCAGCGGCACAAGUCAGAACCGGAUCUAGACGCCAUCCGAACCGCGAGAGAAAGCGCCAGGCGUUUCGAUUUCAAGGACGCCGUUCACUGCCAGCACUUGCACUCGGAGUCGAGAGAUCGGGUGGCAGCGGAAAAUAUGAAAAAUCUCGCGAAAGAUGAGAAUAGAAACAUAUUAAAUCUUACAGACCAUUCACGUAGCGGGACAAAUACGAACCAUUCGGCCCGAGGGACCAAUACGAACUAUCCGGCCCGAGGAACCAAAACAUACGACCCGGCCCGGGGCGCGUCGACGCUUCCUAAGGCCCGAUCUGAUGAGACCAGAUCCGGAGAGUGCUGGAUCACUGGAGCGACCUUCAAAACUCCAACAGAGGUCAAAUCCGAGAAUUUCCAUUGGGGCACGUGUCCCCGCCGCGAUAGGUUCUGCUUCUACUAUCCGCGAAAACGCAACCGCGAGAUAAUCGACGACGAACUACCCGAUCCGGACAAAGUCAAAGACAUACGGAAAAAGUUCGAACAGACCAUCAAAACGGAGCACGCGAGCCAGACGUCGCAGAGACCCCCAUGCGGAAACCGGAAGAGUCACUUCAACACGUGGUCACCGACGUACCACACGUACCCUACCGUCGAGAUCACGCAGAAGAGUCACAAGCUCUCGGAUUCGCCCAAGUACCGCUACUGGUCGGACACGACGAGCGUUUCGUCUGGAGUAGCCAGUGAUUUCAGCUGCGAAACAGACUCGGAGUCUAGUCCCAGAGCGGAGACGCUCGACACCUACCGGAUGAGCGAGUCGGAUCCCGGACAGCCCGUCUCUGCCGACACUCUGAAGAAGAUCCGGGCGUGCGGGACAUCGACGACCUACUACGGCGGCCGGGUCAUCGCCUGCGACAAAGGGACCGUCCGGAGUCCCAUGACGAUGACCAUCAUGGAUGAGAUCAGGCAGAACAUCAAGGAUAACGAGGUUAACCUCCAGUUAGGCAUCAAGUCGCUCCAGAACAAAUACAGCGGCAUGAAGUUCAAGCUUGUCAAAAGCAACAGCUGCGGCAGUAGAUUGGAGCUGACGGGCACCAACGCGAGCAGGCUGCGGAGGCAAAACCAACAGGAGAAGAGAUUAGAAAAGUAGAGAGUGUAAGUGAGAACGACCUGACGAAUCCCAGCCACGAAAGGAAGGAAAACGUAACGCAUUAUCCGCCUAAAGACAUCAUUUUAGACAAGAGAUCUUGUUCAGAGUGUAGCUUACCCAGGAAAGAAAGCAAGACGUAGUUGAAGAGUCCUUCAAGUGUAGCAUACCUCAAGAGAAUAAAGAAGACGGAGCUGAUGAGUCCUCCCCAAGGUGCAGUUUACCCCAGGAGAAGGAACAAGAAGUUCCUGAGGAGUCACAUUACCAUUCGGAUUAUAAUUCGAUUGUCUCAUUGAGAACGGCGAGGUCCAGACCUCGGCUCAGCCGGGUGAUCUGAGGGAUUUCAUUCGGGCCAAAGGGCAGAGCACGAAGGACAUCGUGAAAGCCUUCGAGUCGGCGGCCCACAAGGAGGAGACGACAACUGCGCCUUGGAGGAGCCUCGUGGAGUCUCGGCGGCAGGCUAACCGAAUGGCAGAAGUCAAACGAGCUCCUCUCUUCGACGAGAUGGAGUUCGAGGAAUUCGAGGUCCUCGACGAGUCAGCUGCCAGACAGAGUGCGAACCAGAGCAGUCCACCCGUAAUCGUAGAACAAAGCUCGUGAUAACGGACGGAUAAGUUCCUUUUGAAAUUUAAGACGAAUGCCGCCGUGCUAAGGAAAAACACUAUAUGAAAUAUCAGGCGUUGCCAAAUUUCCUUUGAAUAAAACACGAAUUUCCUCGUGAACUUGAGAAUAUUUUCCUUCAAAUUUUUCAGACGAUUUUGUUCGCAAUUUCAUCUCCAAUUCCUGCAAAUUUCAAGAAAAAAUAUUUUCAUCAUCACUCAGAAAUAAACAUUUUAUUGAAUGAAAUUUGGCACCCCUCGAAUGCUCAUGCGCCGUUCUUCCUUAGCACGGUAGAAUGGGUCAGUUACGCUUGUCACAGAAUCGGGAUUUGAUGUUUGGUCCUUGUAGAUUGGCUAGAAAUAAUAAGAUUUGUCCAAACAGCAACUUUCUUCUUAGUAACCUAGAUAUUGCGCUUAGAAAAAUUUGGUUUAAGAAGUCAUCCACCGCGGUUAUGCACACCAUGAUCUCUUCCACCUUGGAUUCAUCAACCGGUGAUACACACACUUGCACUGGUCACUUAACGUGAGACUCAAAUGAAAGCAAGGUGGAAGAAACCAAGGGUGUCACUACUGCGGUGGAUGACAUCACAAACCGAAUUUUUCGAAAAUGUAUGCAAAAUUUAUGCAUACCAUGAUAUCUUCCACCUUGGAUUCAUCAACCGGUGAAGCACACAUUUUCACUGGUACUCGACGUGAAACUCACAUGAAAGCAAGGUGGAAGAAACCGAGACUGUCACUACAGCAGUGGAAGACGGUACAGACCGAAUUUUUCAAAGCGCGAUAUCUCGGUUGUUGCUGUUUGGACAGAUCUUGUUAUUUUUAGCUCUUCUGCAAGAAUUAAGUAUCGAAACACCAUUUUGUGCCUAGCGCAACUGAUCCAUUCUGAAAAUAAGCAAGUCAGAUCUGAAGUCCCCUUGUAUUGAGAUUUAUAAGAGAUGUGAAAUUAAUAAUUCAUCGGCUCUAGUUUUAGACUUUGUACUUCCGUUGUUUCACAAACUGCUAGAAUGAUUGCAUAUUUACUGCUUACAAAUAUUGUAAACAAAAUAUACCGGAGAACUUAGAGUAUAUAAAAGGACGAGAGAGGGAAUAGAGAAGAGGGAUUUGGAAAAUAGUUUAUCAAGGAUACAAUACAAAUUACAAACUGUGUGAUCUUCCUGUCGGUUUGCGAAUCAGGAGCCGAAAUGUCUUCACUCAAAGACACUCUGGUCAACUUUUCUAAGGGUAGGUUCGUAACAAUAUGGCGAUAGUUCUACUAUAAAUUAACGUUGCCAAGUUGUAAAACACCCAAUGAGUGGAGUAUUUGUAGGAGUCUGAAAUUUCCAUACAGUUUUACUCCGCUCUUAUUGGUGUCCUCUCUUUUGCCCACACAUAAAUUCUUGAUAUGCAUUUAAAAACUAGCUGAUUCUUUGUCAUUAAAGUCAGAGUUUCAGGUUUAAGUCACCAUUCAUGUUGCAUCAUGUACCUAUUUGUCCAGAAUUGCUGCUCGUAAAACCGUUGCAACCGACUAAAAAUUGUUUUUAAAUUAUUCGGGCAUAGAAGGAGAUGAAUAGGAGAUGUAAAGAGCUGUGCCACUCACAAUCAGUUCAUUAUACAGGAAACAUUUUAAGAUAGCGGAAUGAAGAGGAUUUUAGAUGGUCGAAAAUUUAAAAUAAUUUUAAGUCGUACAAAAUCGGAUUGUAAAUAACUAGGUGGAGUCAGUAAACCAAAAGGUCCGCUGAAAAUAUUCCGUCUUCGAGAGGGAUAAGUUUCCGCAACUUUUCGUUCAUUCGCUCAAAGUUCACAGUACACUGAAAAAAAAUUCUGUUGUCACAAACCAGUAUUCUGGUUGUAUUUCGGAACCAGAUUUUCUGGUUGAUUUAACCAGAAUUACAGUUUACUCAACCAGAAUUUGGUAGAGUCAACCAGACGUCUGGUUGAGUCAACUGUAAUUCUGGUUAAAUCAACCAGAAAAUCUGGUUCCGAAAUACAACCAGAAUUCUGGUUUGUGACAACAGAACUUUUUUCAGUGUAUGGGUAGUCUGUUUAGACUAAAAUCAUACAAAUUUAGAUCCUCUCAAAACUUUAGGUGUGUGUUGUAGACCUGCUUACUUUCGGAAAUAUUAAAAAACUUUGACAUUUGUAAUGUUUAUGAAUUCAAUUGUUGUUAUUAAUUUUUAAAAUAUGAAGCGUUGAAUUGCGCGUAUUUCAAUUUAGCUGUUAACUUGUUAAUGCUUAUAAGUUUAUGAAUUUGUUCUGAUUUUAAAGUAUGAGGAAUGAAAAUAAAAAAGGAAAUAAAAAG